rnacentral:rRNA from 1 species
CAAGCGGUGGAGCAUGUGGUUUAAUUCGAAGCAACGCGAAGAACCUUACCAAGGCUUGACAUCCCUUUGAAAAGCAUAGAGAUAUGUUCCCUCUUCGGAGCAAAGGUGAACAGGUGGUGCAUGGUUGUCGUCAGCUCGUGUCGUGAGAUGUUGGGUUAAGUCCCGCAACGAGCGCAACCCUUAUCUUUAGUAGCCAGUGGGUAAAGCCAGGCACACUAGAGAGACUGCCGUGGAUAACACGGAGGAAGGUGGGGACGACGUCAAAUCAUCAUGCCCCUUAUGUCUUGGGCAACACACGUGCUACAAUGGCUCAUACAAAGUGACCCAAGCUAGUGAUAGCAAGCAAACCACAAAAAAAGAGCCUCAGUUCGGAUUGUAGUCUGCAACUCGACUACAUGAAGUUAGAAUCGCUAGUAAUCGCGAAUCAGCAUGUCGCGGUGAAUACGUUCCCGGGCCUUGUACACACCGCCCGUCACAGCCAUGGGAGUUGGAUGCACCCGAMGUCUGUGACCUGACCCGUAAGGGAAGGAGCAGCCUAAGGUGAAGU